rnacentral:lncRNA from 1 species
GACUUUGGGACCUUUUUCCAGCAAUUAAACCUACUAUAUGUGGCUGUAUGUGUGGGACGGGGAUUCUACCUGAUGCAGCUGCAGCAGAGGCCCCAGGGCUCCCCAAAGAAGACCACCUGGAAGGCUUCCUGGAGGUGCAGGCCAAGAAGGAAGCUGUGAAGGAUGACAUCAGUGUUCAUCCAUGGAAAAAUGAGUUGUACUUCUGCUAAUGUCAAGGGCAAGACUCAAAUUCAAAAAACAUCACCACUACCAAUAAACAAAACCAAAGGGAAAGGAUUCCUUAUCAGCAGACAGUUACAGCUCCCACUAGGACACUGCCUUCUCAGCGGCUUCAGUUAUCAGAUAUUCCUGGACAUACUUUCCAAGCCAUGAAAAAUAACCAGAGCCACAGCUUUCCCAGCACUCUGACAAACAUCCAUGAGCCCCCAAAGACCGGGAAGUAAUGAUGAUGCAGCUGCGGCACCAUAGAAGAAACAAGUGAUUUCAGUCAAAGGGCCUGGACUCACGAGCUAGCAACUUUGGACAGAUUCUUGAACUCUCAGCCUCAGUUUCUGCUUCUGUAAAGGGAGAUAACUACAGUGACCUUCAGGUUAUCUUGAAGAUGCCAAUGAGCUAGUGAAAAUGCAAUUUAAUCUGUACAGAACUAAACAAAUGUAAGUCAGUGCUAAUAUUCUGUUCCUAGUGGGGACAUGCCAAGUCUCUUUACUGCAACCAGUGGUUCACAUAUGGAAAUAUUGUGCUAAUUUCCAACUCCUACUUAUAUAUAUGAUUUGUUAACUCUGGAGGAUGCAGCCAUCAGCAUAAGCAACCAACAGAAGAACACGCUGGAUCCUCUCCUUUUCCUGACAGUGUGUAGUCUUCAUGGGGGUGGACAGGCUAGAUUUAAAACGAUGGGCGGAUUGAUUAUUUUUCUGCAUCUAUUUCCAGGGUUGUAAUGUAUAUUCUCUUUCUCCCACAUCCCGCCUUCUAUUUUCUUCUCCCUACACAGGCUCUUUUAAUACAAAUUAAUUAAAAGCAGGCAUCUUAAGAGGUGGCUUAAGAAGACUCCUGCAUCAUCAUAGGGAGUUAAAAUUCUGAGCAAAAAGCCUUCUGGAGGAGAAGCAUAGGACAGGCAGCCCCAAGACUGGACUGGAUAGAUGUUGCUGAGCCACCAACUCUCUGAGGGACCUGAGACAAAGCCAGGUGACCUCACCAGUGCUCCAUGUUCUCACCAUAAGUUCUAUAGGACACUCAAAUAUUCUCAGGACAUCAGUUUACUAUACACAUGCACACACACAUAUUUUACAUUUCAUUCAAAGGGUAAAACAUAGACUCCCUUUGUUCUAUAAACCUACAAACAUGUCUGAGCAUUUUUUACAUAAAUAUUUCACAAAUAUUUUACAUGAAUACUUCGACUUAUAAGUCCAUAUUUUAACAAUGGCAUCUUUUCCAAUGUGUACAUUAUGGAAGUGUGGUUGGGGUGUACAGCCUAGGAGCUCAGGGACUGCACAGGCCUGUUCUUUAUGGAUGCAUUGCAUUCAUCUCCCACAGCCAUUUGUAGCUUCAGCUGUUUCUGAAAGCAGCCACUUUCCCUUUUGAUGUCUGAGGUCCAUUAUUUUCAUUUUUGACUUAACCAACAGGUGUUCUCUCUUGAACUCUUUCCUACAUGAGCUGUCUUGCCUCAGGGUUCCCACGGACAGGAGAGUUUUUCCUACAGUGUUACUGAGAGGCACAGAGAAAUCAGUUCCUCCUGGUCCACUGGCUCCGCUCUCAGCACUGCAGUCUCUUGUGACCACGCUGAAGUCUCAACGUUUCCCCCUUCUGAGGACAUGCAGGGACAGAAGGGUGAACCACAAGGGCCAGACCUAAUGCUCCAGGAAAACAAUGAAAGAACAAUUUUCCAUCCUUUUAUUUAGGGCUUAAGUAAGCCAGGCCUGUAACACCAAAUUGUGAGAGUGCACAAGAUGUUUUUGAACCUUGGUGCAGAAUCCAGAAAGAAGUGCAGCCUCUGGUGACAGGGUCUUGGGCUAGCCAUGUGAAGCCUGGCUUUAUGUCAGGCCUCUCAAAUGUGCUGUACAAACCUACCUGCAGGUCUACUCUAGGCAGAAGGGGUGGACCGAUGGCACCAACAAACACAUCUGUACACACAACAGUGCAGCAGACACUUGUGGAUGGGGUAUGAGACAAGCUGUAGAUGCCCUCAAUUAAAUCUGAGGACAAAAGAAGACUGCCCAGAGAGUGGCACUAGCAUGGCAACAAAAUAUUUCAAAAUAUUAAUGGGUUUUACAUACACGCAUAAAAUCACAUUUUUCUGACCUUAUAACACAUUUCAGUCAUUUAGGUAUUGAGUUUGUAAUGCUUGUGGAUACUCGAAAAAUUGAAAGAGGCAAAGUUAGACUUCUUGUCCCCAAGACUGGAAAUAUGUCCCUUCGUUGGGAGUUGGGUGGUGUUGAAUGCAGUUGGGGUGGAAGGAGAGGAGAGCUAAUGGGAAAACAAAGAAUAAGUAAAUGUUCUACAUUCCUGAGAAAAGGGGCCCUGCCCCCUAGCCAUCUCUGCAGCAAAGCCCUGGGGGAGAGAGAGAGAAUGCUCAGACAUGUUUGUAGGUUUACAGAACAAAGGGAAUCUAUGUUUUACCCUUUGAAUGAAAUACAGGAAAGCAAAAUACCUAGAGCAGAAAUGGCUGUGUGACAUGUCAGACAAGGUCAUAGAGUUUUCCAUGGCCCUGCACUGCCCGUGGCUCAUGUGGCAUGACUGUAGGUGAAACCCAGAAUGGACUCUCAAGGUGCCCUGGGCUCCCUUCCUCAAUGGCUGAAGAAGGCUUCUCUUGACCUAAUGGAGUUUAAAGAGACUUGGGGAUAUAGUGAACUAGACCCCAGAAGCCUUUCAAACAGGAACUAGGGGGCGCCCACCAGGACCUUGUGGACUGACAGUGGAGGCUCAAUGAGACAAAAUGUGUCAUGGAGAUGCCUUCAGGACAGACAGCAUUCGGGAACAGAUACCAGCUCCUUACAGUCUUGGCCUCCAGAUUAGACAUGGCCCUGGAAAAAGGUGAUGGGGGACCUGGAAUUACCAGACAGCAAUUCCGUUCCCCCACUUAGUGGAAUGGGAGCACAACAUGUAAAUUAAAGGAAUUAGAGAAAA